rnacentral:rRNA from 1 species
CCUACGGGUGGCAGCAGUGGGGAAUAUUGCACAAUGGGGGAAACCCUGAUGCAGCAACGCCGCGUGAAGGAAGACGGUUCUCGGAUUGUAAACUUCUGUUCUUAGUGAAGAAGAAUGACGGUAGCUAAGCAGCAAGCCACGGCUAACUACGUGCCAGCAGCCGCGGUAAUACGUAGGUGGCAAGCGUUGUCCGGAAUUACUGGGUGUAACGGGAGCGCAGGCGGGAAGACAAGUCAGCUGUGAAAACUACGGGCUUAACUUGUAGACUGCAGUUGAAACUGGUUUUCUGGAGUGAAGUAGAGGUUGGCGGAAUGCCGGGUGUAGCGGUGAAAUGCGUAGAUAUUCGGCGGAACACCGAUGGCGAAGGCGGCCAACUGAGCUUUAACUGACGCUGAGGCUCGAAAGUGUGGGGAGCAAACAGGAUUAGAUACCCUUGUAGUC